rnacentral:misc_RNA from 1 species
GAUGAAGAACGCAGCGAAAUGCGAUACGUAAUGUGAAUUGCAGAAUUCAGUGAAUCAUCGAGUCUUUGAACGCAAGUUGCGCCCGAAGCCACUAGGCCGAGGGCACGCCUGCCUGGGCGUCACACGCCGUUGCCCCCCCAUCUACUCCUUCGGGAUUGCGGGGGGGCGGAUGAUGGCCUCCUGUGCGCCUAGCCGCGCGGUUGGCAUAAAUACCAAGUCCUCGGCGACGCACGCCACGACAAUCGGUGGUUGCGAAACCUCGGUUGCCCGUCGUGUGCGUUCGUCGCGCAUCGAGGGCUCGAAAAAAUGCUCGGCUCCGGCUGGGCUUUCAACGCGACCCCAGGUCAGGCGGGGUUACCCGCUGAAUUUAAGCAUAUCAAUAAGCGGAGGA